rnacentral:rRNA from 1 species
GUCCACGCCGUAAACGAUGAUAACUAGUUGUUCGGGCACUUGGUGCCUGAGUGACGCAGCUAACGCAUUAAGUUAUCCGCCUGGGGAGUACGGUCGCAAGAUUAAAACUCAAAGUAAUUGACGGGGGCCUGCACAAGCGGUUGAGCAUGUGGUUUAAUUCGAAGCAACGCGCAGAACCUUACCAGCCUUUGACAUCCCGCGCUAUCCUGAGAGAUCAGGGGUUCCCUUCGGGGACGCGGUGACAGGUGCUGCAUUGCUGUCGU